rfam:Brachypodium distachyon strain Bd21 chromosome 4, whole genome shotgun sequence.
GAAAUAUUCCUCCGUCCAACAAAGAAUGAUUCAACUUUGACUAAAUUUGAAUGCAUUUAUACACUAAGUCAUGUCUAAAUACAAUUUUUUUUCAACAAACUUGAGACAUCUUUUGUUGGACGGAGGGAGUAUACA